rnacentral:misc_RNA from 1 species
AGUCAGCNGGAUUAUUUCCUNGCAUGAGUUUUGCUGAGAAACGAUCAAACGUUGAAGGGCUUCUGACGGAUGCCUUGGCGUAGAGAGGCGAUGAAGGACGUGGCAAGCUGCGAUAAGAACCGGGGAGGCGCUAGCACCCUUUGAUCCGGUUAUUUCCGAAUGGGGGAACCCACCUUUACAGUCUUCCAACUUUGCUCUCCCUCGGGAGGGUACGGAUUGGCGGAUUGUUCAAAGGUAUAAUGACCUGAAUACAUAGGGUUCAUUAAGCAAACCCGGGGAACUGAAACACUCUAAGUCCCAAGGGC